UGUAAACAUCCCCGACUGGAAGCUCUGUAUGUCACGUAGGCUUUCAGUCCGAUGUUUGCU
rnacentral:pre_miRNA from 1 species